rnacentral:rRNA from 1 species
AGGAUGAACGCUGGCGGCGUGCUUAACACAUGCAAGUCGAACGAUGAAGCAGAGCUUGCUCUGUGGAUUAGCGGCGAACGGGUGAGUAACACGUGAGUAACCUGCCCUUGACUCUGGAAUAAGCGUUGGAAACGACGUCUAAUACCGGAUACGAGCUUCCGCCGCAUGGUGAGGAGCUGGAAAGAAUUUCGGUCAAGGAUGGACUCGCGGCCUAUCAGGUAGUUGGUGAGGUAAUGGCUCACCAAGCCUACGACGGGUAGCCGGCCUGAGAGGGUGACCGGCCACACUGGAACUGAGACACGGUCCAGACUCCUACGGGAGCAGCGGUGGGAAUAUUGCACAAUGGCGCAAGCCUGAUGCAGCAACGCCGCGUG